rnacentral:rRNA from 1 species
GUAAGCUACUAAGAGCGAAUGGUGGAUGCCUUGACUGGUAAAGGCGAUGAAGGACGUACUAGACUGCGAUAAGCUACGGGGAGCUGUCAAGAAGCUUUGAUCCGUAGAUUUCCGAAUGGGGCAACCCAAUGUAUAGAGAUAUACAUUACCUAUAUAGGAGCGAACGAGGGGAAUUGAAACAUCUUAGUACCCUCAGGAAAAGAAAUCAAUAGAGAUUGCGUCAGUAGCGGCGAGCGAAAGCGCAAGAGGGCAAACCCAGUGCUUGCACUGGGGGUUGUAGGACUGCAAUGUGCAAGAGGUGAGUUUAGCAGAACAUUCUGGAAAGUAUAGCCAUAGAGGGUGAUAGUCCCGUAUGCGAAAAACAAACCUUAGCUAGCAGUAUCCUGAGUAGGGCGGGACACGAGAAAUCCUGUCUGAAGCUGGGUCGACCACGAUCCAACCCUAAAUACUAAUACCAGAUCGAUAGUGCACAAGUACCGUGAGGGAAAGGUGAAAAGAACUGAGGUGAUCAGAGUGAAAUAGAACCUGAAACCAUUUGCUUACAAUCAUUCAGAGCACUAUGUAGCAAUACAGUGUGAUGGACUGCCUUUUGCAUAAUGAGCCUGCGAGUUGUGGUGUCUGGCAAGGUUAAGCAAACGCGAAGCCGUAGCGAAAGCGAGUCUGAAUAGGGCGCUUAGUCAGAUGCUGCAGACCCGAAACGAAGUGAUCUAUCCAUGAGCAAGUUGAAGCUAGUGUAAGAACUAGUGGAGGACUGAACCCAUAGGCGUUGAAAAGCCCCGGGAUGACUUGUGGAUAGGGGUGAAAGGCCAAUCAAACUUCGUGAUAGCUGGUUCUCUCCGAAAUAUAUUUAGGUAUAGCGUUGUGUCGUAAUAUAAGGGGGUAGAGCACUGAAUGGGCUAGGGCAUACACCAAUGUACCAAACCCUAUCAAACUCCGAAUACCUUAUAUGUAAUCACAGCAGUCAGGCGGCGAGUGAUAAAAUCCGUCGUCAAGAGGGAAACAACCCAGACUACCAGCUAAGGUCCCUAAAUCUUACUUAAGUGGAAAACGAUGUGAAGUUACUUAAACAACCAGGAGGUUGGCUUAGAAGCAGCCAUCCUUUAAAGAAAGCGUAAUAGCUCACUGGUCUAGUGAUUUUGCGCGGAAAAUAUAACGGGGCUAAAGUAAGUACCGAAGCUGUAGACUUGACUUUGUCAAGUGGUAGGAGAGCGUUCUAUUUGCGUCGAAGGUAUACCGGUAAGGAGUGCUGGAGCGAAUAGAAGUGAGCAUGCAGGCAUGAGUAGCGAUAAUUAAUGUGAGAAUCAUUAACGCCGUAAACCCAAGGUUUCCUACGCGAUGCUCGUCAUCGUAGGGUUAGUCGGGUCCUAAGUCGAGUCCGAAAGGGGUAGACGAUGGCAAAUUGGUUAAUAUUCCAAUACCAACAUUAGUGUGCGAUGGAAGGACGCUUAGGGCUAAGGGGGCUAGCGGAUGGAAGUGCUAGUCUAAGGUCGUAGGUGCUUAUACAGGUAAAUCCGUAUAAGAAUACACCGAGAACUGAAAGGCUUUUUGAAGUCUUCGGAUGGAUAGAAGAACCCCUGAUGCCGUCGAGCCAAGAAAAGUUUCUAAGUUUAGCUAAUGUUGCCCGUACCGUAAACCGACACAGGUGGGUGGGAUGAGUAUUCUAAGGCGCGUGGAAGAACUCUCUUUAAGGAACUCUGCAAAAUAGCACCGUAUCUUCGGUAUAAGGUGUGGUUCGCUUCGUAUUAGGAUUUACUCCGAAAGCGAAGAAACUUACAACAAAGAGUCCCUCCCGACUGUUUACCAAAAACACAGCACUCUGCUAACUCGUAAGAGGAUGUAUAGGGUGUGACGCCUGCCCGGUGCUCGAAGGUUAAUUGAUGGGGUUAGCGUAAGCGAAGCUCUUGAUCGAAGCCCGAGUAAACGGCGGCCGUAACUAUAACGGUCCUAAGGUAGCGAAAUUCCUUGUCGGUUAAAUACCGACCUGCAUGAAUGGCGUAACGAGAUGGGAGCUGUCUCAAAGAGGGAUCCAGUGAAAUUGUAGUGGAGGUGAAAAUUCCUCCUACCCGCGGCAAGACGGAAAGACCCCGUGGACCUUUACUACAGCUUGACACUGCUACUUGGAUAAGAAUGUGCAGGAUAGGUGGGAGGCUUUGAGUAUAUGACGCCAGUUGUAUAUGAGCCAUUGUUGAGAUACCACUCUUUCUUAUUUGGGUAGCUAACCAGCUUGAGUUAUCCUCAAGUGGGACAAUGUCUGGUGGGUAGUUUGACUGGGGCGGUCGCCUCCCAAAUAAUAACGGAGGCUUACAAAGGUUGGCUCAGAACGGUUGGAAAUCGUUCGUAGAGUAUAAAGGUAUAAGCCAGCUUAACUGCAAGACAUACAAGUCAAGCAGAGACGAAAGUCGGUCUUAGUGAUCCGGUGGUUCUGUGUGGAAGGGCCAUCGCUCAAAGGAUAAAAGGUACCCCGGGGAUAACAGGCUGAUCUCCCCCAAGAGCUCACAUCGACGGGGAGGUUUGGCACCUCGAUGUCGGCUCAUCGCAUCCUGGGGCUGGAGCAGGUCCCAAGGGUAUGGCUGUUCGCCAUUUAAAGCGGUACGCGAGCUGGGUUCAGAACGUCGUGAGACAGUUCGGUCCCUAUCUGCCGUGGGCGUAAGAAGAUUGAAGAGAUUUGACCCUAGUACGAGAGGACCGGGUUGAACAAACCACUGGUGUAGCUGUUGUUCUGCCAAGAGCAUCGCAGCGUAGCUAAGUUUGGAAAGGAUAAACGCUGAAAGCAUCUAAGCGUGAAGCCAACUCUAAGAUGAAUCUUCUCUAAGCUCUCUAGAAGACUACUAGUUUGAUAGGCUGGGUGUGUAAUGGAUGAAAGUCCUUUAGCUGACCAGUACUAAUAGAGCGUUUGGCUUAUCUUUAAUAAAGCAU